rnacentral:misc_RNA from 1 species
GAUGAAGAACGUAGCGAAAUGCGAUAAGUAGUGUGAAUUGCAGAAUUCAGUGAAUCAUCGAAUCUUUGAACGCACAUUGCGCCCCUUGGUACUCCAUGGGGCAUGCCUGUUCGAGCGUCAUUUGUACCCUCAAGCUUUGCUUGGUGUUGGGUGUUUGUCCCGCGUUGCGCGUGGACUCGCCUUAAAGCGAUUGGCAGCCGGCAUAUUGGCCUUGGAGCGCAGCACAUUUUGCGCUUCUAGUCAUGAAUGUUGGCGUCCAUUAAGCCUAUACAUUUGCUCUUGACCUCGGAUCAGGUAGGGAUACCCGCUGAACUUAAGCAUAUCAAUAAGCGGAGGA